rnacentral:siRNA from 1 species
CUUGCCUACAUUGUUCCAUCG